AGGGCUAUAGCUCAGUUGGUAGAGCACCUCGUUUACACCGAGAAGGACUACGGUUCGAGUCCGUAUAGCCCUA
rnacentral:tRNA from 1 species